GCCGACGUAGCUCAGCGGUAGAGCACGGCUUUCGUAAAGCUGAGGUCGUGGGUUCAAAUCCCACCGUCGGCU
rnacentral:tRNA from 6 species